GAUUUCAAUUGAAAAAAAUCAUCAACAACAAAGUUGUAUAACUCAUCAAGAUCUAUAACUUUUAUUUUGGUCAUUUCUUCAUCCGAUAAAGUGAUAGUAACAUUGUUUAUAAAAUUUACAUAUCUCUCAUUUGGUUUUAUAAACUAUAAGAGAGAGAUGUAAAUUUUGUGAACAAUAUUACUAUCACUUUGUCGGAUGAAGAAAUGACCAAAAUAAAAGUUGUAUGUCUUGAUGAGUUCUACAACUUUUAUGUUCAUGACUUUUUCAGCUGAAUAC
rnacentral:pre_miRNA from 1 species